UUUGACCGCAACCGGUAUGAG
rnacentral:piRNA from 1 species